GGCGAACGGGUGAGUAACACGUGGGUAAUCUGCCCUGCACUCUGGGAUAAGCCUGGGAAACUGGGUCUAAUACUGGAUAUGACCUUUCUCCUUAUGGGGUUCGGUGGAAAGUUUUCGGUGUAGGAUGAGCCCGCGGCCUAUCAGCUUGUUGGUGGGGUGAUGGCCUACCAAGGCGACGACGGGUAGCCGGCCUGAGAGGGUGAUCGGCCACAUUGGGACUGAGAUACGGCCCAG
rnacentral:rRNA from 1 species